GACGAACGCUGGCGGCGUGCCUAAUACAUGCAAGUCGAACGAGAGCGACCGGUGCUUGCACUGGUCAAUCUAGUGGCGAACGGGUGAGUAACACGUGGGUAACCUGCCCAUCAGAGGGGGAUAACAUCCGGAAACGGAUGCUAAAACCGCAUAGGUCUUCGAACCGCAUGGUUUGAAGAGGAAAAGAGGCGCAAGCUUCUGCUGAUGGAUGGACCCGCGGUGCAUUAGCUAGUUGGUGAGGUAACGGCUCACCAAGGCCGUGAUGCAUAGCCGACCUGAGAGGGUGAUCGGCCACAUUGGGACUGAGACACGGACCAAACUCCGACGGGAGGCAGCAGUAGGGAAUCUUCCGCAAUGGGCGAAAGUCUGACGGAGCAACGCCGCGUGAGUGAAGAAGGUUUUCGGAUCGUAAAACUCUGUUAUUAGAGAAGAACAAAUGUGAGAGUAACUAUUCGCGCCUUGACGGUAUCUAAUCAGAAAGCCACGGCUAACUACGUG
rnacentral:rRNA from 1 species